rnacentral:rRNA from 1 species
GGGGAAUAUUGCACAAUGGGGGAAACCCUGAUGCAGCGACGCCGCGUGAGUGAAGAAGUAAUUCGUUACGUAAAGCUCUAUCAGCAGGGGAAGAAAAUGACGGUACCUGAGUAAGAAGCCCCGGCUAACUAC